GCGAGCCUAAUCUGAAUCACUGGGCGUAAAGCGCACGCAGGCGGUUUGUUAAGUCAGAACUGAAAUCACCGAGCCUGAGCUGGAAUCUGCAUUUGAAACUGGCAAGCUAGAGUCUAGUAGAGGGGGGAGGAGUACCAGGUGUAGCGGUGAAAUGCGUAGAGAUCUGGAGGAAUACCAGUGGCGAAGGCGACCCCCUGGACAAAGACUGACGCUCAGGUGCGAAAGCGUGGGGAGCAA
rnacentral:rRNA from 1 species